rnacentral:rRNA from 1 species
UACGGUGAAUACGUUCCCGGACCUUGUACACACCGCCCGUCAAGCCAUGGAAGCUGGAUGUACCUAAAGUCGGUAACCGUAAGGAGCCGCCUAGGGUAAAACUAGUAACUGGGGCU